rnacentral:rRNA from 1 species
CUUAGUGGCAAACGGGUGAGUAACACGUGGGUUACCUGCCUUCAAGAUGGGGAUAACAGUUGGAAACGAUUGCUAAUACCGAAUGUGAUCUACGGAUUAAAGAAGCCUUUAAAGCUUCGCUUGAAGAUGGGCCUGCGGUGCAUUAGCUAGUUGGUGAGAUAAUGGCCCACCAAGGCGACGAUGCAUAGCCGAACUGAGAGGUUAAUCGGCCACAUUGGGACUGAGACACGGCCCAAACUCCUACGGGAGACAGCAGUUAGGAAUAUUCGUCAAUGGGGGAAACCCUGAACGAGCAAUGCCGCGUGAGUGAUGACGGUCCUCUGGAUUGUAAAACUCUGUUGUUUGGAAAGAACUGUAAGAAGAGGAAAUGCUUCUUACUUGACGGUACCAUUCAAGAAAGCCACGGCUAACUACGUGCCAGCAGCCGCGGUAAUACGUAGGUGGCGAGCGUUAUCCGGAUUUAUUGGGCGUAAAGCGUCCGCAGCCGGUUUAUUAAGUCUAGAAUAAAAGCCUGGAGCUCAACUCCAGUUCGUUCUAGAAACUGAUAUACUUGAGUGUAGUAGAGGCAAAUGGAAUUUCUAGUGUAGCGGUAAAAUGCGUAGAUAUUAGAAGGAACACCAGUGGCGAAGGCGAUUUGCUAGGCUAUUACUGACGGUCAGGGACGAAAGCGUGGGGAGCAAAUAGGAUUAGAUACCCUAGUAGUCCACGCCGUAAACGAUGGUCACUAAGUGUCGGGGGUCAGACCCCGGUGCUGCAGUCAACGCAAUAAGUGACCCGCCUGAGUAGUACGUUCGCAAGAAUGAAACUCAAAGGAAUUGACGGGGGCCCGCACAAGCGGUGGAGCAUGUGGUUUAAUUCGAUGAUACGCGAGGAACCUUACCCGGGCUCAAACGACAGCGGACAGCGCCUGAAAGGGCGUCUCCGGCAGCGGCCGCUGUCGAGGUGCUGCAUGGUUGUCGUCAGCUCGUGCCGUGAGGUGUCGGCUUAAGUGCCAUAACGAGCGCAACCCCCAUCUCCAGUUGCCACCGGGUCGUGCCGGGCACUCUGGAGGGACUGCCAGCGCAAGCUGCGAGGAAGGCGGGGAUGACGUCAAAUCAGCACGGCCCUUACGUCCGGGGCGACACACGUGUUACAAUGGCGGAGAACAGAGGGGAGCCACGUGGCGACACGGAGCCGAUCCCGAAAAUCCGUCUCAGUUCGGAUUGGAGUCUGCAACCCGACUCCAUGAAGCUGGAUUCGCUAGUAAUCGCGCAUCAGCCAUGGCGCGGUGAAUACGUUCCCGGGCCUUGUACACACCGCCCGUCA